UGAUAAUAAUAGUUAUAUUGGACUUAUUUAGACGUGAUAAAAUUUUCAAAAUCAAUGGACGACUUAUUUUAUUAAGCCUUUUGAAAUCAAAUUUAAACAAAAAUCAAAAAACAAAGUUAUGGCACUUCAAAUUAUGUAUUACCGAACUGCAAUCGGAAUCGUCUUUCGUCAGCAAUGGUUUAUCCUCGCUUACAGAAAUAAAUGAAAUAACCUUAUGUAUCCUACCUUCCCAACUUCUCACCCUACAACAGUGGCAGCUCACACCCCCAGUAUCUGUUCUUUUUUUUUUUUAUUGUGCUGCUACCUAUUCUUCCUGACAUUGUAAUUUUUGUUUACAAAGAAAAAUUUGUACUAUUUAUUCAUAAGGUGGUUUACUCACUAAAAAUAUGAUUAUUUGUUUUAAAUUUUAUUCUUGUUCU